GAUGAACGCUGGCGGCGUGCCUAAUACAUGCAAGUCGAGCGGACGGACGAGAAGCUUGUUUCUCUGAUGUUAGCGGCGGACGGGCGAGUAACACGUGGAUAACCUACUUAUAAGUCUGGGAUAAUUUCGGGAAACCGGAGCUAAUACCGGAUCAUAUUUUGAACCGCAUGGUUCAAAAGUGAAAGACGGUCUUGCUGUCAGUAAUAGAUGGAUCCGCGCUGCAUUAGCUAGUUGGUAAGGUAACGGCUUACCAAGGCAACGAUGCAUAGCCGACCUGAGAGGAUGAUCGGCCACACUGGAACUGAGACACGGUCCAGACUCCUACGGGAGGCAGCAGUAGGGAAUCUUCCGCAAUGGGCGAAAGCCUGACGGAGCAACACCGCGUGAGUGAUGAAGGUCUUCGGAUCGUAAAACUCUGUUAUUAGGGAAGAACAUAUGUGUAAGUAACUGUGCACAUCUUGACGGUACCUAAUCAGAAAGCCACGGCUAACUACGUG
rnacentral:rRNA from 1 species